rnacentral:lncRNA from 1 species
GUUCUGCCAACCAUGCAAAAGAAGAGACAUUCCAAACAAAGUAUCGAACAGACAGAUCUUUUCGGAUGUGUCAAGUCGAUACUGCAGCUCUCUUGACCUUCCCUUCCAUUUUCUGGGCAGGCAACAGCAUCGUAUCUGUUUGUCCUCAUGAGGAACAAGGCAAGAUAAAGAAGAUGCAGGGUGAUAGGGUUGAAGCAACAGGAUGAGAGAUCUCAAGCAUGCUGCUAAAUAUUGUGGUCUGACAAAACUACAUGGCUUCCUUUAUCAAGACAGCUGUGUUUUUACAUAAACAAUCUUAAUUUGGCCUGCAGAAGGAUCACGCCUGAUACUCAAAUGUACUACCUUGGAAGGUCACCUUGACUUCCCCAAGGAGCUUGCUUCAAGGCAUUCAGAAUGCCAGACCAGAAAGCCUCACCGACUGAGGUAUAUUUAUUGUUUACUACUUAGGAAAAAUAAUACUGCAGUGAAAACAACAGCUUCGAAAAUAGCAAAGAAAGUUACUGCUACUCACAAAAUAAUUUUGGAAUAAAUAUUGCUGAAUGGACUGCUUCA